ensembl:lncRNA
GUUCAGUCCACAGGCACCAUCACAUGGCCUACAGUCGACACAGCUCACAUGGUCAUUCUGGACCCAUAAGACACUCAGGCACAGAGGAGACCUAAAUGGAAUAAUAAUAAAAUACACAGGUGCUUUUAUUGUUUUGGUUGAUCAGUUUUGUGACUUCAUGCAAUACAAAACAUCUCUCUUCAAUAAAGAAAGAUGUUAAACAAAUGGGUUACAAGACAUUACACUUAUAUACACUUAUAUUACAUUUUAAAUUUAAUGACAAGAAGACUGACAAGUAAAUAGAGUAGAUGUGAACAGGACACAAAUGCAGGAAGAACAGAGCAAAGAGAGAGUUAUUUAACUGGCUAAAUUGGAGGACUAAAGGACGAACAAACAAACAAACAAACAAACAAACAAACAAUCAAACAACAGCAAAAUCUAAGUGUCAAAAAUAAGCAAAACACUGUAAAACUUAACCAAUGAAGCACAACAGAUAAUGUGACUAAAACAAAGCCAAAAGGCAGAUAAGACACUGCUAAGUGGGUAAAGCGAAACAGGAAAUCAAUGAGAUACAACUGUAUGUAACUAUACACAGAUGAAGACAGUAAGCGCAGGAAAUCCCAAAGAAGGAAGUAAAACUAAUGCAAAGCAUAAAAAAAACACUAAAACAGGAAAUAAAGAAAAGACAUGGCUGACCCUAAACAUGAUUACAGAGGAUACAAGCACAUAGAUGAGACAGAGGGAACACGAGGGAACGAGAAACACAAGAAGAAAUUCUCAAAAAAGGCACCAACACUAAAUGACUUUGAACGCUGUGGGUCAUGUUGCAGUCCAGCUGCCAGGAAUGCCAGUGUUUGAUGUAAUGGUGGUAUAUUUUCUGUCUAGCCAGCCUUCUUUGGAGCAUCUGCUACAGCUCAUAACUCUGGUAAAGUAGUCCAGGCACCAAUUAUAUUUUCAAUAAAAAAGUAGAUAUAUAUCUAUUUAUGGGUUUAAAAAAAUAAUUUAUGCCUAAUUAGCAUGUUGCUACCAUCAUGGUCCAUUUGAAAUUGAAAAAAAGGAUUUUCCAUUAUAUACAAGUCCUUUUGUGAGCUGCUUGUGCUAUGUGAUUGGAAAGUUGACAGUAGAGUAGAGGUUGUCGGGAUCAGCAGUGGCUGCAGUAGAAGCGAAAGGAGCAGUGCAGUAGGUCGCAUCAUUGUCAUCAUCACCCCAAAUCUGGGAAACAAAAGGAAACCUGUGUGACACAUAAUGAUAUCUUCCUCUGCUCAUGUCUGCCAGUUUCAUUAGCUUUGGAAUAUUAUCACUGACAGACAAACGAACUAAGUAAACACAGCAGCUACUGACAUCCAGAGGUCUGUUUGAAGUCUUUAUUCAAACUCUGGCUUAGUGUGGUCUACAAAUAAAGAUAAUACAUAUUAGAGAAAAGUAGAGAAAAGUACCUAUUUCUGAAAACGUUGAUAAGCGGUGUAAAAUACAAAUAAAAGAGGGAACCAAAGCACAAAAAACAAAAGCAAAGACAACCUUAAAACAAACAGGCCUCCUGUCAUCACUGAUACAUACAAGUUUAACUUUAUAACUAUGACACUACAAAACAUAUCCAAAAAAGAAGAAGAAGACGAAGACGAUGACCUUACCCUGGUGUUACCGUUGGUGUUCUUGGUGUAGCUGACGGUGGCAUAUGAAGGUUCAGGAUCCGCCUACACAGUCAAGACGAGAACAUGCUGACUCCUCAGUAAUUAGUGAAACUGUGUCAUGUGACAACAGCAAGUCUUCACACAUGAUACACUUUAACAAGUCUUUAACUUGUAUCAGCGUCAUGGUGUAUCUCGUAAAUGAUGUCCCAAAAUGUUGUCUUUUUUUCUCUGACCUAACAUUUUUGGAUUCAUAUUCUGUUUCACUGUUCUACGGCUACAUUGUCUAACUUCCUUAUCUUGUACGCUUUCUUAGUGAGUCUCAUGCAUUUCUAACUUAAUUGGAAAAGAAGAAGAAGUGGUUUUAACUCUGGGUGUAGUGUGUGAUCUCACCGAGAGCUGACUGGUUUGAGGAGCAGACCGAGUCUCUGCAGGGUUUAAACUAAGUCCCUGAAAAACAGACAUAGUGAGGAUAAAUCAGGUGGUAAACUGUGUCUAUGAAGGCAGUUUAGUUCUUGUUAACACCCCUCAGAGAGGAUUGGAUUUGUUGUUCAUUAAAUGCCAGUUGUAAAACAUUAAAUUGUCUAUGUUAAAACUCACAGCAUCUUCAUCCAUCUGUGUUUUAUUUCCUGUAAAGACACAAACAGUCAAUUCUGACAUUCACUUUGAAACUCAUAGAAGUUUUAUCUGUAAAUGUUCUCACCUCUAGUUCUCUUCCAUCUGAUGAAAACCACAACAAUUACCAAGAGUGAGACCAAACCCACAGCUGGAAUGAUGAACCACUGGAUAGCUGACAAAGGGGGGAAAGAAACUUCAUAGGGCUUUUAACAUGAUUUUAAAAGCCAUAUUUACAUUUCAAAUAAACAUAGUUUUGCUUGAGUGUAAUCACUUUGAUCUUCAUAGUGUCACCUGGUUUUGAAGGACUCUUGAUUGUUGGGUUUGUUUCUGAUUUUGUGCUUAUUUCAGUUUUUCUGGCUGGAUUCGUUGUUGUUUUUGUGUCACCUGAAUAAAUGAAAAAAUUAAAGCACAAAAGUUUUUCAUGUUUCUCAUCUGAUGUAAAUAUGAGAAAAAAUAUUCUACUUACACACUUGAAAUAUAUUAAGUAAAUAUCUGAUGUGAUUUUACUCAUAUUAACAGCUGAUCCUGAUCUCAC